rnacentral:rRNA from 1 species
AAGAGCUCAAAUUUGUAAUCUGGCACCUUCGGUGUCCGAGUUGUAAUCUCGAGAAGUGUUUUCCGCGCCGGACCGCAUAUAAGUCUGUUGGAAUACAGCGUCAUAGUGGUGAGAACCCCGUAACUGAUGCGGAUGCCCGGUGCUUUGUGAUACACUUUCGAAGAGUCGAGUUGUUUGGGAAUGCAGCUCAAAUUGGGUGGUAAAUUCCAUCUAAAGCUAAAUAUUGGCGAGAGACCGAUAGCGAACAAGUACCGUGAGGGAAAGAUGAAAAGCACUUUGGAAAGAGAGUUAACAGUACGUGAAAUUGUUGGAAGGGAAACGCUUGAAGUCAGACUUGCUAUUUGGAGUUCAGCCGCAAGGUGUAUUCUUCGAUUUGCAGGCCAGCAUCAGUUUUCUGGGGUGGAAAAGGGUAUUGAGAAGGUAGCAGUUUCGGCUGUGUUAUAGCUCUUUGCUGGAUUCAUCCUGGGGGACUGAGGAAAGGCAUCCACGCUUUUUGCCAAGGCUCUCGG